rnacentral:rRNA from 1 species
UGCAAGUCGUACGCACUGGCCCAACUGAUUGAUGGUGCUUGCACCUGAUUGACGAUGGAUCACCAGUGAGUGGCGGACGGGUGAGUAACACGUAGGUAACCUGCCCCGGAGCGGGGGAUAACAUUUGGAAACAGAUGCUAAUACCGCAUAACAACAAAAGCCACAUGGCUUUUGUUUGAAAGAUGGCUUUGGCUAUCACUCUGGGAUGGACCUGCGGUGCAUUAGCUAGUUGGUAAGGUAACGGCUUACCAAGGCGAUGAUGCAUAGCCGAGUUGAGAGACUGAUCGGCCACAAUGGAACUGAGACACGGUCCAUACUCCUACGGGAGGCAGCAGUAGGGAAUCUUCCACAAUGGGCGCAAGCCUGAUGGAGCAACACCGCGUGAGUGAAGAAGGGUUUCGGCUCGUAAAGCUCUGUUGUUGGAGAAGAACGUGCGUGAGAGUAACUGUUCACGCAGUGACGGUAUCCAACCAGAAAGUCACGGCUAACUACGUGCCAGCAGCCGCGGUAAUACGUAGGUGGCAAGCGUUAUCCGGAUUUAUUGGGCGUAAAGCGAGCGCAGGCGGUUGCUUAGGUCUGAUGUGAAAGCCUUCGGCUUAACCGAAGAAGUGCAUCGGAACCGGGCGACUUGAGUGCAGAAGAGGACAGUGGAACUCCAUGUGUAGCGGUGGAAUGCGUAGAUAUAUGGAAGAACACCAGUGGCGAAGGCGGCUGUCUGGUCUGCAACUGACGCUGAGGCUCGAAAGCAUGGGUAGCGAACAGGAUUAGAUACCCUGGUAGUCCAUGCCGUAAACGAUGAGUGCUAGGUGUUGGAGGGUUUCCGCCCUUCAGUGCCGGAGCUAACGCAUUAAGCACUCCGCCUGGGGAGUACGACCGCAAGGUUGAAACUCAAAGGAAUUGACGGGGGCCCGCACAAGCGGUGGAGCAUGUGGUUUAAUUCGAAGCUACGCGAAGAACCUUACCAGGUCUUGACAUCUUGCGCUAACCUUAGAGAUAAGGCGUUCCCUUCGGGGACGCAAUGACAGGUGGUGCAUGGUCGUCGUCAGCUCGUGUCGUGAGAUGUUGGGUUAAGUCCCGCAACGAGCGCAACCCUUGUUACUAGUUGCCAGCAUUAAGUUGGGCACUCUAGUGAGACUGCCGGUGACAAACCGGAGGAAGGUGGGGACGACGUCAGAUCAUCAUGCCCCUUAUGACCUGGGCUACACACGUGCUACAAUGGACGGUACAACGAGUCGCAAACUCGCGAGAGUAAGCUAAUCUCUUAAAGCCGUUCUCAGUUCGGACUGUAGGCUGCAACUCGCCUACACGAAGUCGGAAUCGCUAGUAAUCGCGGAUCAGCAUGCCGCGGUGAAUACGUUCCCGGGCCUUGUACACACCGCCCGUCACACCAUGGGAGUUUGUAACGCCCAAAGUCGGUGGCCUAACCUUUAUGGAGGGAGCCGCCU